rnacentral:rRNA from 1 species
UACUCCUACGGGAGGCAGCAGUAGGGAAUCUUCCACAAUGGACGCAAGUCUGAUGGAGCAACGCCGCGUGAGUGAUGAAGGGUUUCGGGUCGUAAAACUCUGUUGUUGGAGAAGAACGGGUGGCAGAGUAACUGUUGACAUCGUGACGGUAUCCAA